GCCCUUAUCCGGAACAUUGGGGUGUAUUCACCCGUCCAAGCCUCGCCUUGUGUAUGCAUUGAAAUGGCAACUGAUAAGACUAAAUAUAUCUGUGUAGGUCUUCUUUACAGCUGAGUGUGUGGGUAACUGUGAUCUAUUGAUUCUUUGAUACCUUUAUCAAGAGUUGGUUGUUGUUUUUUUUUGUAUAUCAAAUGGUGAAAUACUUAACAUGGUUCUCUAAAGACCGUCGACGAAUGGUUUUUUUUCCUUCUCUCGGACAAACAGUUGGUUGGUUCCGUUCCUUAUUGAAUGUGAUAUGUAACUUCAACGAUUGUAUCAUUGGUGUUCUAACACUCUUAUAAAUGAUCAAUAAUUUCUCAAAAUGAGGCAUUCAGAAACUUACCUUAUCUCCCAAUGAAUGGACUAUAUACUAAUAUUCAUAUUGCUGGCAGAUGACUACCUUAUAACCAUAGACAGGUUAUCAGAAACAAAACAAAGAAGUAUGCAACGAGCGUUUUCACUGCUGCAAGAUGUUACACUUCUGUCUGACAUAGAAUGCAUGGCACAAUUAAGGAAAUAUGACAACGUUCUGACGAUAGAAAAAGACAAAAGAAUUAUCAGGUUUGCAUUAAACGAAAUCCGUCAUCAAGUGAUGAGCUACUUUGUCCUGAAUUGUCUUUUAAAAACAGAUGAGGACUACAAGAACUAUAUCAGGCUGUCUUCAGUGGAUUCUUUUGUUGGAGUAUGUACGUACACGGUGGCCCGAUAGGGUAGGAAAAGAACGGUGCUUAUAUUUAACAGGGACGUUGGAGGACGAUUUCAUAGAAAAAUUGGGGAUAGAUGCUUUACAACACGUCAUGGUGGAGACCAGAGAUCAAUCAUACAUGAAGGAAUCCAUAUUUUCUAUGAGAAGUAUGGACCUUAAGUGAAAAAGAUUGUUCCAAAAAUUUAUUUUAUCUACAAUAUAUUGAAAUCAAAACAUACAUUUAGCAAUGCUUACAAACAAAACAUCAGUUAAUUAAACUCUACCGGUAG